UCACGUCCGCCUGCCGCCAAGUCAUCGUCGUCGCCAGCCGCCAGCCGCAGCAGUCGCGGCGAAGCAGCAGCAGUCGCGGCGAAGCAGCAGCCACCGAACGGCCGUCCGCGUCGCCGCCAGCAGCAGCAGUCGGCGCCACCGAUCGCCGCCGUCCGCGUCGUCGCCAGCAGCAGCAGUCGCGCCACCGAUCGCCGUCGUCCACAUCUCUCUCUAUCUCGGGUCUCUCUUCUUUCUCUCUCUCUCUCUCUCUCUCCACCAACCCAUGAACC
rnacentral:lncRNA from 1 species